GAAACAAAUCUUUGUAUUGACUUUACAGGGUCUUUCUGUCAAAAGUGGUUGGGAGUGGUCGGACUGCAUUGGUUGGUGUCCCUAAUGACGUGUCCAGGAGGUUAUAAACAAGCACGCUCAUCCUUCAUUGCCACUACCGAAUCAAUGUGUUUAAGGCGUGUCAUUGUCAUUCCAUUCCACAGGUGCCCCCGUAAACGUUACAUGCAAUAUUUUUAUCAACAGCUUCGGCUCGGUCACGGAGACAACCAUGGUCCGCCCGUUAACGUUACCUGCAACAUAUUUAUCAACAGCUUCGGUUCUAUAGCUGAAACUACCAUGGUGAGUUGAGGGGUCGAAAACACUGAGUGAAUUCUUCAUCAUUU